rnacentral:pre_miRNA from 1 species
UUUUUAGCGUAAGUAUAUCCCAUGCAAUAUUUGGAACAUACUUAUACUAAAG